GCCACUGCAAUCCAGCCUGGGUGACAGAGUAAGACUCUGUUUAAAAAAAAAAGAAAAGAAAAGAAAAGAAAAUGAUGAGCACACUAGUUGGUGUUUUGGGUGUCUAUGAUGUGGUUACAUUCACUUAGGUGGUAUCUCUCCUUUCUCAGCACCACCAGGUAAAUAAUAAAAAUGGUGGGUAGCCAGGCAUUGGUGGUGCAUGCCUGUAGUCCCAGCUUCUUGGGAGGCUUACAUGGGAGGAUCACUUGAGCCCAGGAGUUGGAGACCAGCAUAACAUAGCAAGAUCCUGUUUCUUUUCCUUUUUUGGGGGUUGGGGGGACAGAGUCUUCCUCUGUUGCCCAGACUGGAGUGCAAUGGCACCAUCUCAGCUCACUGCAACCUCUGCCUCCUGGGUUCAUGCAAUUCUCCUGCCUCAGCCUCCCAAGUAGCUGGGAUUACAGAUAUGCACCACCACACCCAGCUAAUUUUUGUAUUUUUCAUAGAGACGGGGUUUCACCAUGUUGGCCAGGCUGGUCUCAAAUUCCCGACCUCAAGUGAUCCACCUGCCUCGGCUUCCCAAAGUGCUGGGAUUACAGGUGUGAGCCACUACACCUGGCCUAGCAAGACCCUGUUUCAAAAACAGCAAACAAAAAACCCGUAAGUAACCCACCUAGCAGUGUGCUAAGAGCUCUCCUCUGGCUCCUCAUUUAAAUUCCACUUAUCCAGGGAGGAAGGUAUCAUGAGUAAUCCCAUUUUAUAGAUGUGGAGGCUGAGGCUAAGAGAGGGAAUGCAACACACCCAGGGUCACGCAGCCAGCAAGAACUUGAUGGGAAUUGGAACCCAGGCUAGCAGAUUCCAAAGCUGGUGCCCUUCACCCAUCAGCUCUCUUGACUGCUAAGGUUUUCCUCUCUUGUUUCUGCAGACUGCAGCCUGGUGGGUGUCUCCAGCUGUCCUUUAACUUCUCCAUUUCCCUCAGUUCCCUGGGAAGGUUCAGGGUGGUGGGCUUGCCUUUCAGGAUGCCUUUCAUCGUCAGGGCCCCUGUGUCCACUGCUGUGACAUUUGGUGAGGAACAGCUCCCUUCCUGGAGCCAAAGAGCAUUCAUUGUCUGGCCACAGGAAAAGCACGCCACAUGUCCCCUGAUGACCUGAAGAUGAAUCCUGACUGCCUGGACAUGCCUGGGCGGGUGUACCCAUGGCCUGUGGUUGAACCAGCCACACCUUGUCUCUUGGCCAGAGGUAAUGUCCAGGCUCAUCUCUCUGUGUAGUAAUUGGACCCAGCUGGAGGGCGGGAGGUGAUAGCUCCUGGGAAGUGCGGUCCAGGGUCCUGGCCAGGGAGUCACAGUGGCUGCUCUGCAGGCUGCCCUGAGGCUGAGGGUUGUGAGUCCUGGGAUCUGCUGGGGAAGUCCAAGGCAUAUCGCACCAGCUGCCCCUAGCUGCUGCCUGCAGCUGGAGGUCACAGGCCCCCCAUGUUGAAGAAGUGUCACCUUCAAAGGGAGGUCACCAUGCAGCAGCAUCAUGGCUGGAAAGGACCAGAGUGAGUGAGAGCCAGCAUCGCUGUUUCUGAUCCACCAGUGACCUGCUACACAGAAAUGGCAAGUUAUUUCUCUCCUCUGGAUCUCAGAUUUCUCACCCUUAAAUAAAAGGGCACGCAGUGGCAUGGAACCACGCUGACACCUAUCACUGUUAAGCGAGGCCAGGACACAGUCUGAUCUCCAUCUCCACUUUUUGUUGUUGUUAAAUGAAACGGAAGAGCAUCUCCCUGCAGAAGUAAACCAUGCACAGAGCCCUAAUGACAUCAUUGCUUCAGCCCCUGGAUCCAGCCAGGCCUGAAGCAGGAUAACCCUGGACUUCCCAGUGAGGUGUGGGACAGAAAGUCAUCUCUCUGCUCACCUGAGACAAAUGCGUAUCUGAUUGCUUCCUCUGCUGAUGUAAAAUGCAGAUUCACUGAGCCAGACUAAACUGUAUCCAGUGAAAGGCUGAUCAAAGACUCGAAAGAAGGCAACCUUUUGUCUCUUAUCUACCUAUGACCUGGAAGCCCUCCCGCUUCGAGUUGUCCUCCCUUUCUGGACCAAACCAAUGUACAUCUUACACAUAUUGAUUGAUGUCUCAUGUCUCCCUACAAUGUAUAAAAGCCGGCUGUAUCCUGACCACCUUGGGCAUGUGGUCAUCAGAACCUCCUGAGGCUGUGUUGUGGGUACGUCCUUAAUCUUGGCAAAAUAAGCUUUUCUAUAUUGAUUGAGAUCUGUCUCAGAUAUUUUGGAUUCACAGUGUGUCCUUACAGGCGUUUCCGAGAUUACUUUCAUGUUUGGUGAAUUGCUAGAAGGACUCAUAGGGCUCAACAUACAGUCAUACCUAUGGCUAGGAUUUAUCACAGCAAACCGAUACAAAGAGAAAUAGUAAAUGGAAAAAAUGUGUUGGACAAAACCUGGAGGAAACGAGGUGCAAGCUUCUAAGCGUCCUCUCCCAGCGGAGUCCAUAGGAUAUGCUUAAUUUCUCCAGCAUCAGACUGAGAGAACAGGUGUGAAUGUUGUAAACUGGGGAAGCUUGUCUGUGCCUAGGAGUCCAGGGUUUUAUGAAGGGUCAAUUUCAUAGGCACUCUUUGCCUAGCAUGUAUCAAACUACCAGACCCUCAGAAGGAAAGCAGGUGUCUAGCAUAAACCACAUUGUACAAACAUUUAAGCAUUCCCUAAUUGAUAAACUGAUUAGCCCGUCUUAACAGUUAGCGAAUAGGGAAAAUACUCCCUAAAUCCAAGUUCCCAGAUACCAGCCCAGGGACAGUCUUUCAAGCAGCCCUUUCUAAGGACAGAAGUCUCAGGCCUGCUGUGUGAACCUUUUCUGUACAGUGGGGAUGCCAGCUCACUUGACCACAAUGAGUCACUAUGCCAUCAGCACUCUGGUGGGACCACCAAAGGAUGGCCAGGUGUAUCGACACACCUGUGUCUGCUGCAGACAGGGGACCACAGCAACUAUAUGUUGUGCAGCUCCUGGAAAUCUGAUGUUCCUGUGACAUCCACCAAACUGGGUUCUCUGCUUCUCGAUGUCACCAGCCUCCCACUUAAAGUUCAAGAUGUAUUUGUUUGACCAAUCCAAGAUGAGAACCUGGCAUUUUUUUGCUUCUGCAGUGGGGGUUGGGCUCUGUCUCCCAGCAAGGCUCAUAGAUGAGUGUAUUAGUUUUCUAGGGAUCUCCUAGCAAGGUACCACAGACUGGGUGACUUAAGCAACAGAAAUUACUUUUCUCACAAUUCUGGAGGCUAGAAUUCCAAAAUCAAAGUGUGGGCAGGAUUGGUUUCUUUUGAGGCCUCUCUUCUUAGCUUGUAGAUUGCCAUCUUCCCUCCCUGUGUGUCUGUCUUAAUCCUUCAUCUCCUUCUCCUUCUUUUUUUUCCAUUUAAAAAAUUGUAGUGGAAUACACAUAACAAAUUUUAACAUUUUAACCAUUUUUAAGUGUACAGUUAUAUCAAUGUAUUAAUUUGGCAUAAAAGUAAUUGCAGUUUUUCCCAUUAAAGGUAAUGGCAAAACAGCAAUUACUUUUGCAUCUACUAUUACAGACCUUCAUAAUGAUGUGCAAAUAUCAUUACCAUCUACCUCCAGAACUCUUCAUGCUGUAAAACUGAAACUCUAUACCCAUUAAACACUAACUCCCUAUUCUCCUUUCUCCUGAGCUCUCUGAGCCCUAUGUUUUCUUCUAAGCAUCUAUAGUUUUAGGUCUUACAUUUAGGUCUUUGAUCCAUUUUUUAGUUAAUUUUUUUAUAUGGUGUUAGGUAAGGGUCCAAUUUCAUUCUUUUGCUUGUGGAUGUUCAGAUUUCCCAGCACCGUUUGUUGAAUAAACUGUCCUUUUGCCAUGGAAUGGUUUUGGCACCUUUGUCAAAAAUCAAUAAACCCAGCUGGGCAGGGUGGCUCAUGCCUGUAAUCCCGCAACUUUGGGAG